ACUUAAAUAGCUUAAUAUAGAGCAUAACAUUGAAGAUGUUAGGGAAAUUGAUUUAAUUUUUAAGUA
rnacentral:tRNA from 1 species